AUUGAACGCUGGCGGCAGGCCUAACACAUGCAAGUCGAGCGAGUGGCGGACGGGUGAGUAAUGUAUGGGGAUCUGCCCGAUAGAGGGGGAUAACUACUGGAAACGGUGGCUAAUACCGCAUACCAUCGGAUGUACCCAUAUGGGAUUAGCUAGUAGGUGGGGUAACGGCUCACCUAGGCGACGAUCUCUAGCUGGUCUGAGAGGAUGACCAGCCACACUGGGACUGAGACACGGCCCAGACUCCUACGGGAGGCAGCAGUGGGGAAUAUUGCACAAUGGGCGCAAGCCUGAUGCAGCCAUGCCGCGUGUAUGAAGAAGGCCUUCGGGUUGUAAAGUACUUUCAGCGAGGAGGCGUUACCCGCAGAAGAAGCACCGGCUAACUCCGUGCCAGCCGCCGCGGUAAUAC
rnacentral:rRNA from 1 species